AGGGGACCUUCGGGCCUUUCGCUAACAGAUGAGCCUGCGUUGGAUUAGCUAGUUGGUGGGGUAAGGGCCCACCAAGGCGACGAUCCAUAGCUGGUCUGAGAGGACGAUCAGCCACACUGGGACUGAGACACGGCCCAGACUCCUACGGGAGGCAGCAGUGGGGAAUAUUGGACAAUGGGCGCAAGCCUGAUCCAGCAAUACCGCGUGUGUGAAGAAGGCCCUAGGGUUGUAAAGCACUUUCAAUUGGGAGGAAAACCCACCGGCCAAUACCCGGUGGCUUGACAUUACCUUUAGAAGAAGCACCGGCUAACUCCGUGCCAGCAGCCGCGGUAAUACGGAGGGUGCGAGCGUUAAUCGGAAUUACUGGGCGUAAAGCGUGCGUAGGCGGCCCGUUAAGUCAGAUGUGAAAGCCCCGGGCUCAACCUGGGAACUGCAUUUGAAACUGGCGGGCUAGGGUUUGGUAGAGGGGAGCGGAAUUUCAGGUGUAGCGGUGAAAUGCGUAGAUAUCUGAAGGAACACCAGUGGCGAA
rnacentral:rRNA from 1 species